rnacentral:tRNA from 2 species
GGUUUCGUAGUUCAACGGAUAGAAUAGAAGUUUCCUAAACUUUUGAUCCCAGUUCGAUUCUGGGCGAGACCA